rnacentral:rRNA from 1 species
GGAAUAUUGGACAAUGGGCGAAAGCCUGAUCCAGCAAUGCCGCGUGAGUGAUGAAGGCCUUAGGGUUGUAAACCUCUUUCAGCAGGGACGAUUGUGACGGUACCUGCAGAAGAAGCCCCGGCCAACUACGUGCCAGCAGCCGCGGUAACACGUAGGGGGCAAGCGUUGUCCGGAUUUAUUGGGCGUAAAGAGCUCGUAGGUGGUUCGGUAAGUCGGGUGUGAAAACUCUGGGCUCAACCCAGAGACGCCACCCGAUACUGCCGUGACUUGAGUCUGGUAGGGGAGUGUGGAAUUCCUAGUGUAGCGGUGAAAUGCGCAGAUAUUAGGAGGAACACCAGUGGCGAAGGCGGCACUCUGGGCCAGUACUGACACUGAGGAGCGAAAGCGUGGGUAGCGAAC